CAACUUUCAGCAAUGGAUCUCUUGGUUCUCGCAUCGAURAARAACGCASCGAAUUGCGAUAAGUAAUGKGAAUUGCARAUUUUCAGUGAAUCAUCGAAUCUUUGAACGCMCCUUGCGCCCCUUGGUAUUCCRAGGAGCAUGCCUGUUUGAGUGUCAUUU
rnacentral:rRNA from 1 species